rnacentral:rRNA from 1 species
GAACUUAAGCGCCAGUAAACGGCGGUGGUAACUAUAACCAUCCUAAGGUAGCGAAAUUCCUUGUCGGGUAAGUUCCGACCUGCACGAAUGGCGUAACGAUUUCUCCACUGUCUCAACCACGAACUCGGCGAAAUUGCACUACGAGUAAAGAUGCUCGUUACGCGCAGAAGGACGGAAAGACCCCGGGACCUUUACUACAGCUUGGUAUUGGUGUUCGGUACGGCUUGUGUAGGAUAGGUGGGAGACUGUGAAGUCGGCACGCCAGUGUCGGUGGAGUCAACGUUGAAAUACCACUCUGGUCGUUCUGGAUGUCUAACCUAGGUCCGUGAUCCGGAUCAGGGACAGUGCCUGGUGGGUAGUUUAACUGGGGCGGUUGCCUCCUAAAAGGUAACGGAGGCGCCCAAAGGUUCCCUCAGCCUGGUUGGCAAUCAGGUUUCGAGUGUAAGUGCACAAGGGAGCUUGACUGUGAGACAGACAUGUCGAGCAGGGACGAAAGUCGGGACUAGUGAUCCGGCGGUGGCUUGUGGAAGCGCCGUCGCUCAACGGAUAAAAGGUACCCCGGGGAUAACAGGCUGAUCUUGCCCAAGAGUCCAUAUCGACGGCAUGGUUUGGCACCUCGAUGUCGGCUCGUCGUACGCGAGCUGGGUUUAGAACGUCGUGAGACAGUUCGGUCCCUAUCCUCUGCGCGCGCAGGAAACUUGAGAAGGGCUGUCCUUAGUACGAGAGGACCGGGAUGGACGAACCUCUGGUGUGUCAGUUGUUCUGCCAAGAGCACGGCUGAUUAGCUACGUUCGGGAGUGAUAACCGCUGAAAGCAUCUAAGCGGGAAGCAUGCUUCAAGAUAAGGUUUCCAUGGGGUUUACCCCGAGAGGCUCCCAGCUAGACUACUGGGUUGAUAGGCCGGAUGUGGAAGUGCGGCAACGCAUGGAGCUGACCGGUACUAAUAAGCCGAUAACUUGACUACAA